GUGGGGAAUAUUGGGCAAUGGGGGAAACCCUGACCCAGCAACGCCGCGUGAGGGAAGAAGGUUUUCGGAUUGUAAACCUCUGUCCUCAGGGACGAAGGAAGUGACGGUACCUGAGGAGGAAGCCCCGGCAAACUACGUGCCAGCAGCCGCGGUAAUACGUAGGGGGCGAGCGUUGUCCGGAAUUACUGGGCGUAAAGGGUGCGUAGGCGGUUAGAUAAGUCGGAUGUGGAAUACCCGGGCUUAACCCGGGGGUGUCAUACGAAACUGUGUAACUUGAGUGCAGAAGAGGAAAGCGGAAUUCCCAGUGUAGCGGUGAAAUGCGUAGAUAUUGGGAGGAACACCAGUGGCGAAGGCGGCUUUCUGGGCUGUAACUGACGCUGAGGCACGAAAGCGUGGGGAGCAAACAGGA
rnacentral:rRNA from 1 species